AGACCCGAAACCCGGUGAUCUAGCCAUGGGCAGGUUGAAGGUUGGGUAACACUAACUGGAGGACCGAACCGACUAAUGUUGAAAAAUUAGCGGAUGACCUGUGGCUGGGGGUGAAAGGCCAAUCAAACCGGGAGAUAGCUGGUUCUCCCCGAAAGCUAUUUAGGUAGCGCCUCGUGAAUUCAUCUCCGGGGGUAGAGCACUGUUUCGGCUAGGGGGUCAUCCCGACUUACCAACCCGAUGCAAACUGCGAAUACCGGAGAAUGUUAUCACGGGAGACACACGGCGGGUGCUAACGUCCGUCGUGAAGAGGGAAACAACCCAGACCGCCAGCUAAGGUCCCAAAGUCAUGGUUAAGUGGGAAACGAUGUGGGAAGGCCCAGACAGCCAGGAUGUUGGCUUAGAAGCAGCCAUCAUUUAAAGAAAGCGUAAUAGCUCACUGGUCGAGUCGGCCUGCGCGGAAGAUGUAACGGGGCUAAACCAUGCACCGAAGCUGCGGCAGCGACACUCAGGUGUUGUUGGGUAGGGGAGCGUUCUGUAAGCCUGCGAAGGUGGCCUGUGAGGGUUGCUGGAGGUAUCAGAAGUGCGAAUGCUGACAUAAGUAACGAUAAAGCGGGUGAAAAGCCCGCUCGCCGGAAGACCAAGGGUUCCUGUCCAACGUUAAUCGGGGCAGGGUGAGUCGACCCCUAAGGCGAGGCCGAAAGGCGUAGUCGAUGGGAAACGGGUUAAUAUUCCCGUACUUGGUGUUACUGCGAAGGGGGGACGGAGAAGGCUAUGUUGGCCGGGCGACGGUUGUCCCGGUUUAAGCGUGUAGGUGUGUGUUCCAGGUAAAUCCGGUUCACUUUAACACUGAGGCGUGAUGACGAGGCACUACGGUGCUGAAGCAACAAAUGCCCUGCUUCCAGGAAAAGCCUCUAAGCAUCAGGUAACAUCAAAUCGUACCCCAAACCGACACAGGUGGUCAGGUAGAGAAUACCAAGGCGCUUGAGAGAACUCGGGUGAAGGAACUAGGCAAAAUGGUGCCGUAACUUCGGGAGAAGGCACGCUGACAC
rnacentral:rRNA from 2 species